rnacentral:rRNA from 1 species
UACGAAGGGGGCUAGCGUUGCUCGGAAUUACUGGGCGUAAAGCGCACGUAGGCGGCUUUCUAAGUCGGGGGUGAAAUCCUGGAGCUCAACUCCAGAACUGCCUUCGAUACUGGAGAGCUUGAGUCCGGGAGAGGUGAGUGGAAUUCCGAGUGUAGAGGUGAAAUUCGUAGAUAUUCGGAAGAACACCAGUGGCGAAGGCGGCUCACUGGCCCGUUACCGACGCUCAGGCGCGACAGCGUGGGGAGCAAACAGG